AGUCGAACGGAAGCAAAGAUUUCGGUUUUUGCUUUAGUGGCGAACGGGUGAGUAACGCGUGAGGAACCUGCCUUUCAGUGGGGGGCAACAGUUGGAAACGACUGCUAAUACCGCAUAAUGCUUUUGAGUGGCAUCACUUAAAAGUCAAAGAUUUAUUGCUGAAAGAUGGCCUCGCGUCUGAUUAGCUAGUUGGCGGGGUAACGGCCCACCAAGGCGACGAUCAGUAGCCGGUCUGAGAGGAUGAACGGCCACAUUGGGACUGAGAUACGGCCCAGACUCCUACGGGAGGCAGCAGUGGGGAAUAUUGGGCAAUGGGGGAAACCCUGACCCAGCAACGCCGCGUGAAGGAAGAAGGCCUUCGGGUUGUAAACUUCUUUUACCAGGGGCGAAAGAAAUGACGGUACCUGGAGAAAAAGCAACGGCUAACUACGUGCCAGCAGCCGCGGUAAUACGUAGGUUGCGAGCGUUGUCCGGAUUUACUGGGUGUAAAGGGCGUGUAGGCGGAGAUGCAAGUUGGGAGUGAAAUCCAUGGGCUCAACCCAUGAACUGCUUCCAAAACUGUAUCCCUUGAGUAUCGGAGAGGCAAGCGGAAUUCCUAGUGUAGCGGUGAAAUGCGUAGAUAUUAGGAGGAACACCAGUGGCGAAGGCGGCUUGCUGGACGACAACUGACGCUGAGGCGCGAAAGCGUGGGGAGCAAACAGGAUUAGAUACCCUGGUAGUCCACGCUGUAAACGAUGAAUACUAGGUGUGGGAGGACUGACCCCUUCCGUGCCGCAGUUAACACAAUAAGUAUUCCACCUGGGGAGUACGACCGCAAGG
rnacentral:rRNA from 1 species